GUGGGGAAUAUUGGACAAUGGGCGAAAGCCUGAUCCAGCCAUGCCGCGUGUGUGAAGAAGGUCUUCGGAUUGUAAAGCACUUUAAGUUGGGAGGAAGGGCAGUAAGUUAAUACCUUGCUGUUUUGACGUUACCGACAGAAUAAGCACCGGCUAACUUCGUGCCAGCAGCCGCGGUAAUACGAAGGGUGCAAGCGUUAAUCGGAAUUACUGGGCGUAAAGCUGUCGUAGGUGGUUUUGUAAGUUGGAGGUGAAAUCCCCGGGCUCAACCUGGGAACUGCCUCCAAAACUGCAUGACUAGAGUACGGUAGAGGGUAGUGGAAUUUCCUGUGUAGCGGUGAAAUGCGUAGAUAUAGGAAGGAACACCAGUGGCGAAGGCGACUACCUGGACUGAUACUGACACUGAGGUGCGAAAGCGUGGGGAGCAAACAGGAUUAGAAACCCGGGUAGUCC
rnacentral:rRNA from 1 species